ACUAUGGCAAGGCAGCUCAGUUGGUAGUACAGUCAUUCUCAGCAUCUGACCAAAUAAUCGACUGGCCUAACAGGAAUCCAUUCAUUUCAUAGGCACAGACACAGGUGCCAGCUUCAUGAACAGAACUCAAAGCGAAAAGAGAUUUAGGCAAUCAGUUUCAGGAAGGAAGAAAGCCAAAACCAUCAUCUGAGGUGUAGAGCAGAUGAGAGCUGCAGAGCAAGCUAACAAAUUACCUUGUUUCUGCACGCAGCUAGUUCUCCUCUCUUUCUCUUCUAACAACAAUCCGGUAAAUACAUGCUUCCAUCCCCAUCUGACUUCCAGCUUCUGAAAUGAGUUUGCAUCCAUUCAUUUGCUUAGGGCACAUAUACAGACACUCUCCAGCUUAAAGAACAUCCAAGUAAGUGAAAAAUUACUGAUGCCAACUAAGAAGAUUUAUACCCAGACAGAAGGCUUAGAACUGCGUAAAGACAUAAUUUUCAUUGAAACAACAACUGGAAACAAAUACGCAGCCAGGAACAUUGUUGGAGACUAAAACAUUAGGGGAGCUUGACAUUGCUCUUCCCUUUCCUAUAACUUUCUGUGACUUUUAGAGUAAUAAGCAAAUAAAAGCAUAAGACCUCCCAUAAAAGAAAUCAUGGACAUCAAAAGACCUCAUAAAGGAAAAACGCUUGUAAACAAGUAAGGAAUGAAAUCUAUUGUGAAUCUCAAAUAACUGUGAUGCCUUCUGAUCCCUGGAAGAAGACUAACUGAAUAAGCUUUUUCUGUCAGUUAGAAAUAUGAAGGCAGUAGCUGUAGCCGUGAAGAACCUGUGAUAAGCAAGCUUUGGGUUUGCCCAUCAUAGAAGUAUGAGCUCCAGCAUACGCUGAAGGUGUUCCUAUUCACCUUCUGCUCAUCUAAGGAUGCCACUUAAGAUCACUAAAUUGCAUGUAACUCAGGAUACGCAUUGCCCACCGUGAGUAACACAAAUGGUACAUUCACUACGUUGUAACAACUGUGCCUACGGGGUGACCUUGGCCGGGGAGUGAGGACGGAGAAUCUAAAGCUCAGUUACGCACACCUCACCAUGGCUAAACUGAAAGGCCUGUGCUCAGCGGACAGAUUGGCAGUUGAGUUUGUACAGUGAGGCCGAAACCACGAGGGCCAGGCCUGCUCUGAAAGGUGGCUGUCAACGUGCAUGUCCCAUUCAGCUCUCCUGCCAGCAACACUCUGAGCAGCUUGCCGGGGAUACCGUGCCAGUAUGGGACAACAUGGUGUUCUUGAUGUCUCUCAGUGGAGGAUGGUUGAAAUAUAAACCAAGUAAGCAAAAGAUGAGAAAGGAAAAGAAGAUUCAGGAAUCCUUAAGUCAGUUGCAGAGUAGUAACUCAGAUUUCCCUGAUGGGACAAGCAUCUUGCCAGGCCUGCAGCUUUCAUACACCAGAAUUUCUAUCCCAACAAGACUGCAACAGGUGACAGGCCAGGCCACAAAAUCUUGAGCUACAGCUGUCCUCCUAUCUCCCAACAACCCCCGCACUCUACCCAAGAGGUGGGGUUUCCACUUUCAUAAAACAAGACUGGUAGGGUUUCUAGCCUUUAUUUUUGGAUGCUCUUGCUCAUAAUGAGUUGAAGGAAACUGACCUUGGGAUGGUAAUCUUGUGCCAUAUGGGGUACAGCAGCAGCCCACCAACCCAAAGGGACACUGUGGACGAUACAGUGGGCCAAUGUUGAGAGCCUUCCAGCUCUCUAUCAAGAUCCCCAGGCUUCUCAACAUGACUCAGUGAGGGGAAGACUCCAAAUAGUAAGCCAAGUUAAGUAUCCCACAGUACAGCAGUGAAGGGACACAAAAUAAAGAUGAAGCUGAUUUCUAGAAAAUACAGAGAUGCCACACUGCCACACUGAAGCUUUGACAUUUUGUGGACUGAGAUUCAUACUCACGCAUCUCUCUCUCCCUCCUACUCCCUCCCUGCCCCAUCUCCCUCACACAACACCUGCUCUCAACACACUUUUACCUGCUUGAUUCAUGCUUCAUCUCUAGUAGUGCCCUGUGAUUGCUGGAUGGGAGCUUGCAUCCUAUUGUGACUUGUUGCCUUUCUGCUUCCAUGCUAUCUGUGGCUAUUUUAAAAGCCCUCUUACUUAUUUCCUGUUUCCUCAUAAGACAGGAUUAUCAUUCCACAUGGGGCACAUAAAACAUAUGAGAUUAUAUUAUAUAGCCCACCUCUGGCUGCAAUGAGGAGUGGAAGCUCAGCCCCCACCUCACAGGAUGCAGGAUAUAGCUGCUGCUUUCAUACAUCAGCAUAAAUGUCAGGAUGAUUCUUCUGAUUGACUUGAAGUGGCAGCGACUCUUCACACAAACACAGCCUAACACCUGUCUUCUCAAUCAUUUGUGAUUGUGUGUCAUUUUUGAAAGACUUAUUUCUAGUCCAAUCUUCAAAUAUUGUUUUUCUUUCCUUACCUUAUGCAAUUUUAAUCAGCCAAUCUAGAAACAUUUACCAGGUUCACAGUUCACAAUCAAAGAGCCCUAAGUUCAAACUCCAGCUACUUGCCAUGCCAGCUUGGAGAAGAUCGUUUCCUCCCCUGAACACCUGCUUCUUUUUAUUAUAAAAUGAGAAUUAUAAUACUUCCUCCAAUAAAUAUUUUUAUAAGUAUCAAAAAUAAAUGUUGUAAGAUACCAACGAUAGUCUUCAACACAUGGGAGGUAUUUAAUCAAUAGGAAUUAUUAUUAUCUUAUAAUAUUUACAAGUUUUACAACUUUAUAUUCCCAAAUUCUUAUAAAUUAUGUAUAUAUACAAAAUACAUAUUUUAUAUAUUACAAAUUUUAUGAUUUAUAAUAAUUAUUAUUUUCAAGUGCUAGGGAAAAUUUAAAGAUUAAGAAAAGCCUUAUCUCCUUCUUUUCAGAGGAGAGAAGUCCUAUACCUUUGAAAAAAACAAUACUUUUUUAAAGAUUUUUAUUUAUUCAUGAGAGACACACAGAGAGGCAGAGACAUAGGCAGAGGGAGAAGCAGGCACCCCACAGGGAGCCCUGAUGCAGGACUCGCUCCCAGGACCUCAGUAUCACACCCUGAGCCAAAUGCAGAUGCUCAACCACUAAGCCACCCAGACAUCCCGAAAGAAACAACACUUGAUAUUAAACAUCACAGACUUCAGGAUUUAAAAGGCAAAAGUGAGCCCUUUGUUUAGGGAGUGAAGAGACCAUGACUAGAAUGCUUACAAAUUGGCUCUAAAUCAUGCAGUAAACAAGAAUAGGCAUUUCUCUGUAGGAUGUAUUUCCUAUAAUGAAGAAAUCAAAGAUGUGUACAACUUGAGGUGUGAGUUAAGAGUGUCUACUAGCCAGACACCUGUUCACACUGUAGCACUGUGGGACACUACAGGAGUGCAAACCGUCUUUCCCUCUGCCAUAUAAAAAUAUCAACCAGUCAUACCCGUCCCUCUCAGAACGUAAUUCCUUUCUCCUUGAGUGGGGGCCAGACUUGGUGACUCACUUCUAACAACAGAGUAUGGAAAGGGAAAAGAUUCAUCUUUAGAGGGAGGAAAGAUGGCAGGCAGCAUCUCAACCCAGUGAUCAAGGCCAUCGUGACCAGUGGUAGGUCAUGUUGACAUCAAGUACCCUAAAUAUGAUGUAAUGAGGACAGCAAGGUAUUUACCUCCGUGCUAUUCUUCCAGAAAAUCUAUAACCUCAGGCUCUUCAUGAAAAAAACAAGAGACAAACCCAACUGAAAUGCAUUCUACAAAUACCUGGUAAAUACUCUUCAAAAGUCUCCAAGUCAGGAAAGACAAGGAAAGACUAAGAUAUGGUCUCAGGUUGGAGAACACUAAGAAGGCAUGAUGACCAAAUGCAGUGUGGUAUUCUGGAUUAGAUUCUAGAAUGGAAAAAAGAUUAUAGUGGAAAAUCAGUAAGAGCUGAAUACAGUGUGUGAUUUGGAGAAUGGCACUUGACUAAGGUUAAUUUCACAUACAAGUUGCCAACUUUUAAAGAAACUGAAUAUAGGGACAUUAGAACUCUGUACUAUCUUUGUAACUCUUCUGUAAAUCUAAACAUUAUUUCAAAAUAAAAAAAUUUUAAAAUCAA